UCUAUAAUCAAAUUCAAUCAUAGUAAUUUACAACGACUAUAUAACUUGAAAAUUAAAUUAUAUUAAAUGAUUUAAAUUUCAAACUCUAUAUAGUAAUUCAUAUUUCCAAUAUUUAGACCUCCUUUAUUAUCCACAAAACCUUUCAAUUACUUUUGUCAAAAUAGUCGAAUUGUUUACUUAGAUUUACAAUGCCCGACAUAGCAACCAAGCGAUGAUACAAUCCAAUAAAGAAGAGACUUACACGGAGUUUUUUUCCCAGCUAAGCCAGAUCAUUUCUUUUUUAUGAACCUCAACACAACUUCUGAUCUGCAAAAGACUUAAUCUGUUUCUUA